GGCAAAGCUGCAUCGGGUAUUUAAACCCCUUAUAAGCGGCCGUGUACUUUUUACUUAAGCUAAUAUAUGAGUCAGUUUGCCCCUAGCAAAACCCUAAACCUUUCAGCCCUGAGAAACAAUUGAGAGCAAUUCUUGACAUAUCAAAGAGCCGUCCAUUGUUCUUUGUGGAGUCCAUCGAGCCAUCUUCAUUCCUUGUCCGAUCUUGAGAGAGAGACACGUCCAGCAAGAACCGGAUCCAUCUCUAUUCAUCAAUCCAUCCUCUGAUCUUGUUGAGAGAGACACACGUCCAGCAACAGAUCCCAUCAUCCAUCCUUCUACCUCUUCUUCUUGUUCAUUUAUCAUAUCAUCCAUCAUAUAUUGCUCAUUGAACCAUUCGCCCAUCUUCAUAACUAAUCUGUUCAUCAUUUUUGCAUUCAUAUUUGAUUCAAUUCCUAUUCAUAUAAAUAAAUAAAAACUUAUAAAAAAACUUUUCUUGUCCUUUUAGGUUUAAGAAUCGGAUUCAAAGCUCUAUCGGCCGCUCGUCUAUACCGCCUUGUAAUAUAUGUCAUUCAGAAUUUAAACACAGGUUUGGCUUCACGUAUCCUACCUAACCCGUAUAAUUUACCUUAGUCUUUUCUUUUUGAAUCGAUGUUAGAAAAGUUUUAUCGAAACUGCAAUUAGUUCUUUCAGUGAAAAUUGGCUUAGCCACUCUAAAUUUUCAUGUCUUUGGCUCUCAAAUCAGUCAACCUUUUUAGAUUUGUGACCGUACUGUAAGAGAGUAAUGACUUAUCCAUCAAACAAGCCUGUCUGGCUCAGUUGGUACGGCGCAAGGCUUUAUCCCUUGUGGUCGUGGGUGUUUCUUCUUCUUUUCUCUCUACUCUAUAUAUAUUUUCCAUAUUUAAGUUUCACCUUGUGGAGUUGAGUUUGUUACUCUUCUUCUUCAUUUAUGUUACAGGUUAGAAUUUUUGCUUAACCCGCCUCUCUCUCUCUCUCUCACAAUCCAUCCUUGCUAUAAAGAUGACCAAUGUUGAGAAACAGACGAUGGCUACAAAUGGGUUCCGGCAGAAACUCCGCACAAAAUGCAAAGCCAGUAACGUUUGCAAAGGAAAACCCUAAUGAACCAUCUUGCCUUGAAAACCAAGAAACAUAGAUGUAUAGUCAUCUUACCAGAAGCACAGUAAGUUCAUUGCCACCAAUUGUAAACCAAUUCUCAUUUGCAGCUUGAGCUCAUGAAUUAAUUAUGCUCUACAAAUUUGAACAACACACUUCAGAGACUUCUGGAUCAAAAUACUUGAACUUUGAUGUUUUUGACAUUUGUUUGAGUAUACAAAGAAGAUAAUUUGGAGAAUAGGGAAGUUGAUAAGUGAAGCAAAAAAGGCACAAAACUUUUAAACAGGUCUCAGGACUUUUUCCCUGGGUUUGAGAGUUGCAGAGAUAAUUGUUUGUUUAUUUUGUUGGUUAAGAUAAGCAGAUUUGUACGUGAGUGAUGGUUUUAUGUUUGCUUGGG
rnacentral:lncRNA from 1 species